rnacentral:rRNA from 1 species
AGAGUUUCCUUCUGGCUCAGAACGAACGCUGGCGGCGUGGAUAAGACAUGCAAGUCGAACGAGAGAAUUGCUAGCUUGCUAAUAAUUCUCUAGUGGCGCACGGGUGAGUAACACGUGAGUAACCUGCCCCCGAGAGCGGGAUAGCCCUGGGAAACUGGGAUUAAUACCGCAUAGUAUCGAAAGAUUAAAGCAGCAAUGCGCUUGGGGAUGGGCUCGCGGCCUAUUAGUUAGUUGGUGAGGUAACGGCUCACCAAGGCGAUGACGGGUAGCCGGUCUGAGAGGAUGUCCGGCCACACUGGAACUGAGACACGGUCCAGACACCUACGGGUGGCAGCAGUCGAGAAUCAUUCACAAUGGGGGAAACCCUGAUGGUGUGACGCCGCGUGGGGGAAUGAAGGUCUUCGGAUUGUAAACCCCUGUCAUGUGGGAGCAAAUUAAAAAGAUAGUACCACAAGAGGAAGAGACGGCUAACUCUGUGCCAGCAGCCGCGGUAAUACAGAGGUCUCAAGCGUUGUUCGGAAUCACUGGGCGUAAAGCGUGCGUAGGCUGUUUCGUAAGUCGUGUGUGAAAGGCGCGGGCUCAACCCGCGGACGGCACAUGAUACUGCGAGACUAGAGUAAUGGAGGGGGAACCGGAAUUCUCGGUGUAGCAGUGAAAUGCGUAGAUAUCGAGAGGAACACUCGUGGCGAAGGCGGGUUCCUGGACAUUAACUGACGCUGAGGCACGAAGGCCAGGGGAGCGAAAGGGAUUAGAUACCCCUGUAGUCCUGGCAGUAAACGGUGCACGCUUGGUGUGCGGGGAAUCGACCCCCUGCGUGCCGGAGCUAACGCGUUAAGCGUGCCGCCUGGGGAGUACGGUCGCAAGAUUAAAACUCAAAGAAAUUGACGGGGACCCGCACAAGCGGUGGAGUAUGUGGCUUAAUUCGAUGCAACGCGAAGAACCUUACCUGGGCUUGACAUGUAAUGAACAACAUGUGAAAGCAUGCGACUCUUCGGAGGCGUUACACAGGUGCUGCAUGGCCGUCGUCAGCUCGUGUCGUGAGAUGUUUGGUUAAGUCCAGCAACGAGCGCAACCCCUGUUGCCAGUUACCAGCACGUGAAGGUGGGGACUCUGGCGAGACUGCCCAGAUCAACUGGGAGGAAGGUGGGGACGACGUCAGGUCAGUAUGGCCCUUAUGCCCAGGGCUGCACACGUACUACAAUGCCCAGUACAGAGGGGGCCGAAGCCGCGAGGCGGAGGAAAUCCUGAAAACUGGGCCCAGUUCGGACUGUAGGCUGCAACCCGCCUACACGAAGCCGGAAUCGCUAGUAAUGGCGCAUCAGCUACGGCGCCGUGAAUACGUUCCCGGGUCUUGCACUCACCGCCCGUCA